GCCGGACACAAUGGCACGAGCCUGUAGUCUCACCUACUCGGGAGGCUGAGACAGGAGGAUCGCUUGAGUCCAGGAGUUCUGGGCUGUAGUGCACUAUGCCAAUUGGGUGUCCACACUAAGUUUGGCAUCAAUAUGGUGACCUCCCAAGGAGUGGGGAACCACCAGGUUGCCUAAGGAGAUGUGAACCAGCCCAGGUUGGAAAUGGAGCAGGUCAAAACUCUUGUGCUGAUCAGUAGUGGGAUCACACCUGUGAAGAGCCACUGCACUCCAGCCUGAGCAACAUAGGGAAACCUCAUCUCUA
rfam:Otolemur garnettii contig118325, whole genome shotgun sequence.